rnacentral:rRNA from 1 species
GUUUGAUCUGGCUCAGGAUGAACGCUAGCGGCAGGCCUAAUACAUGCAAGUCGAACGGUGUCUUCGGACAUAGUGGCGCACGGGUGCGUAACACGUAUGCAACCUACCUUACAUUGGGGGAUAGCCUUUCGAAAGGGAGAUUAAUACCGCAUAAGACAGUAGCUGGGCAUCCAGCAGCUGUUAAAGAUUUAUCGAUGUAAGAUGGGCAUGCGACCAAUUAGUUAGUUGGCGAGGUAACGGCUCACCAAGACUAUGAUUGGUAGGGGAACUGAGAGGUCAAUCCCCCACACUGGCACUGAGAUACGGGCCAGACUCCUACGGGAGGCAGCAGUAGGGAAUAUUGGGCAAUGGACGCAAGUCUGACCCAGCCAUGCCGCGUGCAGGAUGAAGGCGUUAUGCGUCGUAAACUGCUUUUAUACAGGAAGAAACGACUCUUGCGAGAGGCAUUGACGGUACUGUAUGAAUAAGCACCGGCUAACUCCGUGCCAGCAGCCGCGGUAAUACGGAAGGUGCAAGCGUUGUCCGGAUUUAUUGGGUUUAAAGGGUGCGCAGGUGGUUUAUUAAGUCAGUGGUGAAAGACGGUCGCUCAACGAUUGCAGUGCCAUUGAAACUAGUAGACUUGAGUAAAGUAGAGGUGGGCGGAAUUGAUAGUGUAGCGGUGAAAUGCAUAGAUAUUAUCAAGAACUCCAAUUGCGUAGGCAGCUCACUUGGCUUUUACUGACACUCAUGCACGAAAGUGUGGGUAUCAAACAGGAUUAGAUACCCUGGUAGUCCACACUGUAAACGAUGAUAACUAGGUGUCGGCCGAAUCUGGUCGGUGCCACAGCGAAAGCGUUAAGUUAUCCACCUGGGGAGUACGCCGGCAACGGUGAAACU